CUGGAAUCUUUAGUGUUGAGAGGGCAGGGCCCAGCCCUCAGUCUCAGAGUCACUUUGAAGCUGGUCUGCAUCACAGCACCAGAGAAGCAAAUAUCCUUGCCUUUGACAGUCGCCGGAGCAGUUCUGAUGGCUGUGCUAUAAAGCUAUGUCCUUGGUUUAAACACAUCAGGAAUAAUUGGAUGCAGUCUUCACAGAAUAAAUCAAGGCCAUCCAGAACCGCCGCUACCAUGGUGCCAGCUGCAGUGGGGAGGCCAGCGGUUGUGGCAGGAGAGGCUGCAGGGGCAGCAAUAACGGUGGUGGGACCCCUGUCCCCCAUGUCUCCAAGGCAGGCAACUGAGCCACCCCCACCUUUGCAUGACCAGGCCCAUAAAAACCCCAGAGUCGGCCAAACUGGAGCAGAGGAUGGAGAGACAAAGGGAGAUGAUGAGAUGACCAGCUGCAGAGAGGAGCUGACCACCCCAGGGUUUCCUGUCUGCUGAGAACCAAGGAGAUGAUAGGACGACCAGCUGCAGGGAGAAACUACCCUCUCUGCUAAGAGCUGGGCACUUGACGGGAUGACCUGCCUAGCAGAGAGGAGAUACCCUCUCUGCUGAGAGCUGAAGAGAUGACUGGGUGACCACCUGCAGAGAGGAACUACCCUCUCUGCUGAGAGCUUGACACUCAUUGGGAAACCCUGCUAUGGAGAGGAGCUGCCCAUUGCAGGUCUCCUCUGAGCUGUUCUAUUGUGCGAUAAAGCUCCUCUGUGUCUUGCUUA
rnacentral:lncRNA from 1 species